GAACAAUAGAAAAUAACUUCAUAUCAAAAGCAAGCUCAUUAUGGAACUAAAGAAUAAAUUUGCUUUGCUUGAGGCGAUUCCAGAAGAUAUUGACAUAGAAGGGAAAUGGAAAAACUUCGAUAAAGCAUUCAACCAGACAGCCAAAGUACUCAGUGGAUUGUGAUAUGUUGAUACGCG